CAAAGCUAGCCAUGGCAGGGGAAGGGGAGCGCCGCUUGUGGGGAGCUGACCAAGUGUGGUGUCGGCCGCGCUGCCUGCCAACAGACAGCAACACUGGUUUUCCACUGCCGACCAUUCAUUGGACUUGGACAGCUUUGCUCCUUCCCUGGGACCAAGUCAACAAGCUGGGACCAGAGGAGCUGUGGCUGUAGCAUGCAGGAAAAGAGUUAUCCCAGUCAGCCUGAGUUGCACCAAGUUUGUAAUUUUCAAGAAAGGCCAGUUUUGUGGAUCGACAGGUGCGAUGUUAUCCAGAUAAAGUGCAAAGGCACGUUGGUUCAAGUUGUAGCUGCUCUCAGACUAAAAUGGAAACAAGUCAGGGAAAGACCAGAAGACUGCAGAGAGGCGAGCAGAGCUGAACAAACUCAAGGAGCCUCCUGGGAAGUAAGUCAAUCUAAGGAAUAGCUGCCAAAGCCCAGGCAGAGAUGCCUGAAAAGUACCUCUGAGCAAGAGAGGAAGAAUAACACUGAGGACCACCAUUUGACUCAUCACGUGGCUCAGUCCCUAGGGACUUGUGCCCAAAUCACAGGGAAAGAAAACAACCUGGAUAGAAUGUUUUACCCAUUGUUUCUUUAAGACUUUGAGAGUAAGGGAUCGUACCAUUGUGGAACCAGUGUAACAGACAAUGGUACAAGGUUGGGAAAAAGGGAUUCCUCCCAUUGCAGAAGAUAUGAGCAGAAGUAGCACCAGUAUCAGGGGUGAUACCAGCUUAGCAGGGAAACACAGCAAUGCUCUUAAUGGUGGAUAGAAUGGCAUUGUGCUCCUACUGAAAGAUGCCAAGAGCCUUAGCCACAGUAGGAAGCCAAGCAAUGGCGUGAGGUGGUAUUUUGAGAGCAAGAGAAGACAGAACCCUUGGUAUAACUCUUUUGGCACCAUCCGUGGGGAACACCAGCAGCAACAGUGAUGAAAGUACCGGGGAAACAAACACUUUGACAACCCAAACUGAGGAGGUUUAUUCGUCCAUCAGGUACACCUCUGGGAAUACCUGAAAAUAACUAGGGGGAUGGUUAGAGAGGGGAUAGAAAUUCAAUAUUUUGCUGUUUUCUUAAAUGUCUAAGGGGAAAUAAAAGUCCAUUUAAUUUUAAUUAAAAUUAAUUCACUUUCAUUAAAAUUCAUUUCUUUCAUCUACCACAAUGAGGCCAUUCAAGAGAAGACAAGACUUAUAAAAAAUGUAAUCCCCAACUUUGGAGUUUAAUGGAGGCGGGCUAGGUCCAAGAGUUAUAACCUGGCCUUAGGGUGUCAAGGAGGUAGCUUUCCAGGGAUAGCUCUAUAGAAAGAGCUUAUGUGACUCUCUUGAGGAUGGAGUAAUGUGUCUGAAAGUAAUUGAUCAAUGGCCUGGUUCCAGUAGAUUCUUGAGGUUCAUAUAUUAGGAAAUGCAUGUUUGCAGGAAGAAUUCCAUAGCUGACUGGAGCUGUGUUAGUUCACUUUAGAGGCUACUUCUAGCUCUAAGGUUCUAUUGUUCUUUGAAAAGUCAAAAAAAUUAGGAGUGAGAAGAAGAUAUCAAGAUGAUCUCCUUUCCAAGGUGCCAUCUGAAUCAGGACAAGCUUCACCUAUUUUUCUGGCUUUCAGGAAAUGAUAGGAAAACAAGUUUACACUCUCUCUUAAUUUGCACUUCAAAACUAGACUUCUCCUAAAAUUGUUUUCAAUAGAAAUUUUCACUGUCAUAUUCCUUUAUGGAAUUGCUUUCUUUUCAUUACCCAGAAGGAAAGAGCUACAGAGGUCUCCAAAUUUCUGUUGGAGCCUCUGUGUCUGCACUCAGUGAUGCCAUGGAUUUCUGUUAUUUAGCUGUCACUGAAAUCUAAAUUGUAUCAUUUUCCCCUUUCGUCUAAACAUUGCCCUCAUCUCAUGGUAACCUUAUUUUUUAAAAUGCUCCACUGAAUUUCCAACACCUUUCAUAUAUUUAAUUUCCCAGGGAAUUUCACAACAGGGCCCUGAAAGUUUGGACAGUGCCAGAUCAAGGGUGUAUCUGAGCCUUGACAAUACCCUAGGAUUGGAGCAGAAAGGAAAUAACCUUUGCUUUCUUCCUACUGAAGAUUCAGCAAAGAAUAUAAUCCUACAGAGAGCCAGCUCUGGCUUCCCUGUGCUCCAUUUCUUUCUGAAUAUUUCCAAAGAGCAACACCUCGCUACCCAAACUGUAAUGCUAUUACAUCUAGAUAGCUAUUCCUUGUAUAUGUCACAUAUGACACUGCAUAAGUUCCCCUAGUGGAAUUUCUGGGCCAAGGGGUAUAUAUGUGUGUGUGUGUGUGUGUGUGUGUGUGUGUGUGUGUGUGUACACUUUCAACAGAUUGCCCUCAGAAUGGCUCACCAGUUUCCACUUCCACCAGCAGUGCAUAAGAAUUCAUUCUCUCACAUCUGUGCCAACAGUAAUACCAUUUGACUUUCUCAUUUUUAUCAAUCUGAUAGGUGUAAAGUGAGUGUCAUUAUGGUUUUAAUUUAUAGC